CCGUGGAUACAUUGGCUUACAUUGUUGAUACAGUUGCUUUAAUUUGUAGACAUUAUAGAUAUUUAAACAUGAUUGCUUCAUAAAUACAAUUGACAUGGAUAUAUGCACUGUAGGCAUGAUUGCAUCUAUAGACCAUUUGUGCCUACAGUUUCCAACGGUAUAUUAAGCUCAACAAUGUGACACAAAACAAUGUCUUUUAAAACUGUAAAAUAUAAAUUACACGGUGGCAUCUGAUGAGCCACGUCAUGAUUUCGAAGAUCGAAUUA
rnacentral:lncRNA from 1 species